GCCUAAAGCGUCCGUAGCCUGCUGUAUAAGUUUCCGGUUAAAUCCAAAUGCUCAACAUUUGGGUCGCCGAAAAUACUGUACAGCUAGGGAGUGGGAGAGGUAGACGGUACUCGGUAGGAAGGGGUAAAAUCCUUUGAUCUAUUGAUGACCACCUGUGGCGAAGGCGGUCUACCAGAACACGUUCGACGGUGAGGGAUGAAAGCUGGGGGAGCAAACCGGAUUAGAUACCCGGGUAGUCCCAGCUGUAAACGAUGCAGACUCGGUGAUGCAUUGGCUUGUGGCCAGUGCAGUGCCGCAGGGAAGCCGUUAAGUUUGCCGCCUGGGAAGUACGUACGCAAGUAUGAAACUUAAAGGAAUUGGCGGGGGAGCACCACAAGGGGUGAAGCCUGCGGUUCAAUUGGAGUCAACGCCAGAAAUCUUACCCGGGGAGACAGCAGAAUGAAGGUCAAGCUGAAGACUUUACCAGACAAGCUGAGAAGUGGUGCAUGGCCGUCGCCAGCUCGUGCCGUGAGAUGUCCUGUUAAGUCAGGUAACGAGCGAGACCCUUGCCUCUAGUUGCCACCAUUGCUCUCAGGAGCAGUGGGGCGAAUUAGCGGGACCGCCACAGUUAAUGUGGAGGAAGGAGAGGGCCACGGCAGGUCAGUAUGCCCCGAA
rnacentral:rRNA from 1 species